rnacentral:lncRNA from 1 species
ACAAAAACAAUCGUUUUCUUUUUUCUGUAGGUAAAUUAUACUUCACUAUUAAAAUGGAAAAAUUAGUACAAUCUCAAUUUCAUAAAAAAGAAAACAUUGUAGCAAGUCAUAUGCCAUAUUUUUAAUAGUUCUUAUAUCUAGUGAUGGGUUAUGGAUGCUAUUGACUUUCUCUACCCACCUCCCUAAACUGUAUAAAAUUCUUUAUAGUAAUCAUAUAUUGUUUUGUUUACAGAUGCUGAAAAAAAAGUAUUUUCAUGUUUUUUAAAAAGGAAGAAAGAAGGAUAAUUCCCUGUGCUAAUGAGUAGAUAACAAGAAACGCACCCUUAUAGACCACCGGGAAAAGUUCGCCUUUAUAAUGUAGUGAUAUGCCUCAAAGGCACUGCAGUGUGUAUGCUUUUUAGGUGUCCACAGCAGGAAAAGUAAAAGUGUUUGCACAUGGGUAUUCAUUAAGUUGCUUAUGAUAGAAAAAACUUUGAAGAAUCCUAAAUAUCUAAUAAUAGAAGACUGGUUAAAUGCAUUAUGAUAUAUCUAUUCAGUAGUAUACUUUGUAAACAUUAAUUAUUAAUAUAUGUAGAUGACUUGAUAUGGAAAGAUGUUGAAUGACAACAAAGCAUAUAUAUAUUACAUAAAUGUGCAUACAAAAAUUCCAGUUAGAUAUUUUCAAAUGUUAACAGUUAUCAUAUCCAGGUAAUGACAUUUUUUCAGGGCAUUAUUUUCUAAAUUUUUCUGUCAAUUUUAUACAAGUGCA